GAUGAACGCCGGCGGCGUGCUUAACACAUGCAAGUCGAACGGAAAGGCCCAAGCUUGCUUGGGUACUCGAGUGGCGAACGGGUGAGUAACACGUGGGUGAUCUGCCCUGCACUUCGGGAUAAGCCUGGGAAACUGGGUCUAAUACCGGAUAGGACCACUUCUUGGAUGUUGUGGUGGAAAGUUUUUUCGGUGUGGGAUGAGCUCGCGGCCUAUCAGCUUGUUGGUGGGGUAAUGGCCUACCAAGGCGUCGACGGGUAGCCGGCCUGAGAGGGUGUACGGCCACAUUGGGACUGAGAUACGGCCCAGACUCCUACGGGAGGCAGCAGUGGGGAAUAUUGCUCAAUGGGCGCAAGCCUGAUGCAGCGACGCCGCGUGGGGGAUGACGGCCUUCGGGUUGUAAACUCCUUUCGCUAGGGACGAAGCGUUUUGUGACGGUACCUGGAGAAGAAGCACCGGCUAACUACGUG
rnacentral:rRNA from 1 species